UCGGCUCCAUCUCUAGGCCCCCCGCCGCUGCCUCUCCUGCGAUGCUGAUGCCUGCCUCUGUGUCACCUUGGUUCUCCAGCGUGCGGCGCUGUGCCCGCUUUUAUCUCGAGAAGAGAAGCAUAGCUUAGUGCUCUGACAGCGCGGUUCAGUCCGUGGGGCUGGAACCGAAUAGCAUUCACUGAAUCUGCGGCUUUCAUGAAGUCUCCCUACGAGGUCCUUCACUUUGCUCCUCAACGUGGACUUCCCCCACCCCCUGCCAUUCUAGGCUCCCUCCCUCCGUUGCUGCCGGACUCCCUCCUCUGUCGCUGCCCACACGCGCGCUCCUCUGCCCCGCGGUGGCCCCAGCGCCCAGCCCUCCAGCCAGAGGGAGCCAGUCACCAGACGGCAGCACCUGGCUGGAGAGGUUGGGCGGGCCGAGGGUAGGGAUCCGCGGGAACCAGAGAGCCUGGAGCUGGAGCAGAAGCUGGACCAACCGCGAGCGGAAGAAUGGAGUCUCCCCACAGCCUGCCGAGGCUGAUGUGAAAUUGGACCAUCUGCUUCCAGUUCGUCUGUUACCUCUUCUUUUUGUGUUUUCUUCCCUCGCCAUUCACAGAGGAGUGAAUUAUUAAAUCUUGCUCCGUUCCAAGACAGGCGACCACGAUGGAGUGACCCACCCUGUCCACCACAAGGAAAAGCACAAAGAAGAAAUGACGAUGGCCAAGUUAACUGAAUCCAUGACGAAUGUCCUGGAAGGCGAUUCCAUGGACCAGGAUGUGGAGAGCCCGGUGGCCAUUCAUCAGCCAAAGUUGCCUAAGCAGGCCAGGGACGACCUGCCAAGACACAUCAGCCGAGACAGGACCAAAAGGAAAAUCCAGAGGUAUGUGAGGAAGGAUGGGAAGUGUAACGUCCACCAUGGCAACGUGAGGGAGACCUACCGGUACCUGACGGACAUCUUCACCACCCUCGUGGACCUCAAGUGGAGAUUCAACCUGUUGAUCUUCGUCAUGGUCUACACAGUGACAUGGCUCUUCUUUGGAAUGAUCUGGUGGCUAAUUGCAUACAUCCGGGGAGAUAUGGACCACAUAGAGGACCCCUCAUGGACUCCCUGCGUCACCAACCUCAAUGGGUUUGUCUCUGCUUUUUUGUUCUCAAUAGAGACAGAAACCACCAUCGGUUAUGGCUACCGGGUGAUCACGGACAAGUGCCCCGAGGGAAUUAUCCUCCUCUUAAUCCAGUCCGUGUUGGGGUCCAUUGUCAAUGCAUUCAUGGUAGGAUGCAUGUUUGUGAAAAUAUCCCAACCCAAGAAGAGGGCAGAGACCCUGGUCUUUUCCACGCACGCAGUGAUCUCCAUGCGGGAUGGGAAGCUCUGCCUGAUGUUCCGGGUAGGGGACCUGAGGAAUUCCCACAUCGUGGAGGCUUCCAUCCGAGCCAAGCUGAUCAAGUCCAAACAGACUUCAGAGGGGGAGUUCAUCCCCCUCAAUCAGACGGACAUCAACGUGGGGUACUACACCGGGGAUGACCGUCUCUUUCUAGUGUCACCUUUGAUUAUUAGCCACGAGAUUAACCAGCAGAGUCCCUUCUGGGAGAUCUCCAAAGCACAGCUCCCUAAAGAGGAACUGGAGAUUGUGGUCAUCCUGGAGGGAAUGGUGGAAGCAACAGGAAUGACGUGCCAAGCUCGGAGCUCCUACAUCACCAGUGAGAUCUUGUGGGGUUACCGCUUCACCCCCGUCCUAACGCUGGAAGAUGGGUUCUACGAAGUUGACUACAACAGCUUCCAUGAGACCUACGAGACCAGCACCCCGUCCCUUAGUGCCAAAGAGCUGGCCGAGCUGGCUAACAGGGCAGAGCUGCCCCUGAGUUGGUCCGUGUCCAGCAAACUGAACCAACAUGCAGAACUGGAGACAGAAGAAGAAGAGAAGAACCCGGAAGAACAAACGGAGAGGAAUGGUGACGUGGCAAACCUAGAGAAUGAAUCCAAAGUGUAGGCCCUGCUGGGUCAGCCUUUCCCUCCCCUCAGACACCACCCUUCCUUGUCUCUCAUGUCCCUCUCUUCUGUUUCUCUCACUUUGAUCUUGAUUUAUUUAUAUUUCAUUUUGGCAUUUCCAGAAAACAAAUCUUCAAGGUGUAAAAUGCCUACCUGCCCUCAGAUGUUCAGAUGGACGAGCAGACAGGGAUUUGGUCGAGGGUCAGGGUACCUGUAUUUGUGGCCCAAGCCUGGUCUCCACCCUCAGGAGAGACUUAUCCACUGACCCACUUAACUGUCCAACAUACGUCACUCAAAAGAGCUGUCAAGGGUUUUACCCAGUGCCCAGAGGUCACCUGCUUACCGUGGCCGUAGGUCACACCGGAUAGUCCAUUCGGUUUUACAGAAUCCAGUUCAUCUCACCUAGCACAGGGCAGGUGCUUGCCCACUCAGACACUAUGGGUGCAGGACCCAGAUAGCCAGGGAUAGACCACUGUACAUAGAUCUGCCCUAUGGAAUUAUUUUCUUUUGGCAAUUAGUAACACCACUCAGCAUGCACAAGAGUACCGUGGAGCAGAACUCCUAAUAUUGUACAUAAUGUAUCAUUCAUGUAGCUUGAGAAAUACAACUUUAGAAAUAAGAAAAAAGAUUCCUAAUGUACAGUAGGUGUUUCUAUUUUGUUAUCUGUGUCUUUUGAUCAUCUUGAUCCCCCUGACUGCUGGCCCUCUAAAUGCAUGGCCUUUGUUCCAGGCCCCAGGUUGACAGCUGCUAGGGUACCGUUCUGUUCCCUUGUGAUCCUUCUGUUGAAUCUAAUAAGCCAUAGGUCUGAGGACAGUCCAGAGGCAGCAGAUUGCAAAUCCCACCACCCAAAACUCUGAACUACUGUGACACAUUUACAAAAUGGAUGUCAUUUGUUUAUAGAUAGCAAGGGUCUCUCUGACCAGCCUGGGGAACAGGGACUAGCGCAGCCCCCCACGUGACACUCGCCAUAAACCCUAACCCUUUGGUGCACAGCAGUUUAAGAAAACUUUCUGUAAAACCAUUGAUUGCUCUUCUAUGUAGUCACAAGAAACUGCGGGCAUUUCAUGUGGCAAGUCAGCAGAGGGCGACUUGGGUGUGAAGCCACGGCUUUCAGGAAGUCAUGCAAUGGGUGACAAUAUUGCGUUACCAACUCCCUGCCCUCUGACGUCAUCGGGCAAGCCUUUCCCUGGGGCCUGUCCUUACCAUUUCUUAUGCUGUUUUUUUUUUAAAUCUUCUCUCAUCAUUAUUGUUGCUAUUAUUAUGAAAUGGCCAGAGUCUGGCAUACAAAGGUCCUUCCAGAGUACGAGAGUAUUCCACUACUUGCAAUCUUCUCCAAGGGCCUCUCAAUCAAAAGAGCACAAACAACAACCAUCAAACCAUUCUUCCUAGCUUAUUUUAAUCUUCAAAGAAGGAGAGAAUGAAUGAACAAAGGAAGGCAGGCAACAUGCAUAACAAUCUAAAUUCAAAUGAAUGAAAAGUGGACUGGAAAGAGACUCUCGGGUGAGACGUUGGGGCAGGUGGAGAUUUUGCACUGUAACCGAUCUUUCUCAUUGAUUUUACACCUAUAAACUGUUCAUUCUCCAACGCCAUUGCACAUCAUAGAUACGCAUCGAAGGAUCUAAAUUUAUUUCAGCUCCUAUAGAUGUGCUCAGUUUGAGACUUUGCCCCACGGAGGUCAAAGAGGUCAAACUAGCUGCUCCCUGGUUCCCCUUUGCCACCCCUGACCAGACUGCACAGGGCUUUGCUGUAAUCUGAGUUCCUGGUCUAUAAGAGUCAGGAAUUAUGGGAAGUGGUUUCUCCAUCCAGCAUCUGGGCUGUUCCUCUCCGUCUGCAGAGAUCUUGCUACCCAAACAACUAUUUCUUGGCUCUGACUCUGGAAAACAAAGCUAUUGGCUGCAGCCCUUCCCUGCCUGCCAGCAUUUCCCUUUGGCCUUGGUUAUUAUCAAUCAAGUCAUGCAUUCUCUCUGCACACUCUAAGCCGGAGAUGGUGGAGGAAGGAGCCCGAUUUCCAAGAGGCUUGACCUUAUCUUAGCCUUAUGAAAGAUGCCCUGCUUUGGGCACCAGCCUGCAGCAGCCCAGGGCAGGGCCUGUGUAGCACAAAGAAAGAUGGGGAAAGCCGCCAGAUGUCUGCUGACUAGCUCUUGAAGACUCACUGGGCCUUUUUAAAUCUAUGACUGAAGUUUGAAGGACAAUCUCCCCUAUUGAUGGGCUGAAAGAGCAGCUUUGAAGUUGCCCUUCUCCCCUGCUCUUCAGGACACCCGGACAAUAGCCCCGUGCACAGACAUGCUGUGGCCUCAGCAGGACACUCUGAUUGGGGGGUCUCUCUCUGCCUCUCAGGGUCUUGAUGUCACUGUGGUUGGUGGCAGACGUGAGCUCAGAAUCCUUAAAGACGGGAGCUCCUGAAGGACCUUUUGUUAGAAUGUCCUUUCCAAACGUGUCUAUUUUUCUACAGUCACCAAGAAAACGGUUUGACAGUGUAUUUUGUGUCUACUGUUAAAAUUUGAAAGAAGAAGUUUCUUAUUUCCAUGAAGUCCAGCCUGGCAACCAUCUCUCAUGGGAUGUACCUUUGGAGCUAUAUGUAGGACCUGUCACAUCCCCAGAUCACCCAGACUGUCUACUAUCUCCUGGGAGUUCUGUCCUUUUAUCUAUUCCCCACAUCUAUGAUGGGUCUGAACUGAUGUUUGUUUGGUGUGAGGUUUGUGUUCAGAUUCUUUUUUUAUCUUAAUUUUGAUGUGUCUAACAGUUUGCUGAAAUAGCAGCCUUUGUCGCUUUGCUGGAUUUAUGCGGCUGUUUCUGGGCUCUCUAGUCAGGCCUAUCAUCUGUGCCCAGCCCGCCAACGCUUUUACCAAUACCACACCUUCUCUACCGAUACAGCCACUUCACUACCAGUCCUAGCAUUUGGUGGCACCUGCUGUUGUUCUUAAUUUCUGGCUGGCUUUCUUGUCUGCGGGUUAGAGGGUAAAGACAUUACGCGAGGAAGAAGACACAGACACAUGGCGGUCCCACGUGGGUGCACUUUUAAUGGGGGAGGGGUAACAAUGGGCAGGUAAAAGGUGUGCAAACACAACAGGAAAGGCGGGGGGGGGGGGGGGAGGAGAGAGAGAGCUCGUGGCGGCCCUCGCUUUUUAACGGGGAAUGCAAAGGCUUCUGGGAAUAUGUCCAUAGUCCAGGAGAAUGCUGGGAGCUGUAGUUCCGCAAAGGAACAACACCUGCCGUCUGUCUUUGCACAGUUUCUUCAACAGUGAAUGAUUCAUUUUGUCUAUUCUGAGUCUUCUGUUUCUCAUGUAAACUUUAGAGAGCUGAUAUCUACAAAUUAAUCUACUUGACUUUAGAUUGGUAUGGCGUUAACUCUAAAGAUCAAGAUAAGAAGAGAAAACACCUUGACAAGGCUGGUUUUGUUGUUUAUCUGGGUCUUCAGUGUCUUUCACCCCUUUAUAGUCUUCCUCAUAUAGAUCUUAAACAUGGUUUAUGAGACUUAUACCCAAGCAUAUUUACGUCAAGGGCUACUAAUUUAAAUGAUUAUAUUUUUUAUUUCUGAUUCUAAUCACUCAUUGCUAGUGAAUAAGAAAACAGAUGGUUUUGUAUACUAAUUUAUGUCCAAAAUCUUUAUGUAAUUAUUUUUUUUAAUCUUGGCUUUGCUGAAGUCUUUAGUCUCAGAACUCAGGAGGCAGAGGCAGGUGAGUUCGAGGCCAGCCUGGUCUACAAAGCGAGUUACAGGACAGUCAGGGCCACACAGAGAAACACUAUCUUGAAAAAACAAAAACAAAAAAAGGGGGGGUGGUCACUUCUUAAAGAUGGUCUAGAGGUGAGCGUCUCAUCUGUAAAUGAUAACUGUUUCUUCCCUCCCAAUCUGCGUAUCUUUUAUUAACUUUUCUUGUCUUAUUGCAUCAUCUACACCCAGAAUCACGUCAAAAAGCUCCCAUUCUGGGUCUGAACAGAAAACAAGUCUCUGUCAGCUAAGUGAAGUGAACCGAAGGGAGUUUUAAAGACCACUCCCCUAGUUAAAGAAAUGCCAAAAUAAACGGUAAAAAUAAAAAAGAAACAUCCCUCCAGCCAUACUUUAUAGAGAACCUCUGUGUUUAGAGCAGUUUUAUUAGUAACUGCAGAAGGCUUAGAGACCAAGAUGCACCCCUGUGACAAGUGAAUGAACAAGCAGACAGCUCAACAGUGACGCAUUCCAAAACCGAAAAAACAAUCCACAGAAUCAUGGCACAACAUAGGAUAACAUUAAGUGCAAAUAAUUAAGUUAAAAAAUUCUAAAAGGGCCAUGCUACUGUGUGAUUUCAGCUCUCUGAUUCCUACUGAGGACUUUCAUGGUGGAUGGCUGCUUGGGUUUGAUCAAAUUCUCCCUCUGCGUCCAACAGUAGCAGCACACAUGAUGUGUAUGACUCUGCCCACAGCGUGGAUUACAGGCAUUUGCUUUUGGAUGUUCAACUGCUUUUCUUAUCUGGCAUAAAUCCCACUUGGUUAUAGUAUAUAAUUCUUUUCAUGCAUUGUUAGAUUCAAUUCGUGAGCUGUUUGUGGUUGAGGAUAUUUGGAUCUGUGUUCGUGAGAGCUAUUGACCUGUAGUUUUCAUUCACUGAAGUAUCUUUUCCUCAUUUGUCCUUAGGGUGACGCUGGACUCCUAGUGUGGAUUGAGAAGUGUUUCUUCUAAUUGCAUCCUCUGAAAGCGAUUACAGAGAAUUGCUAGAUUUCCCUCCUUAACUACUUGGAAGACUCCACCCAGAAUGAGCCCAUCUGGACCUAGUACUUUCUGGCUGGAAAGGUCGUGAAUAAUUUACUUAAAGUCGGGGCUGGAGAGAGGACUCCUCGGUUAAGCUUGCUUAGUGCUCUGCAGAGGGCCUGGGUUCAGCUUCCUCGGGCUACCGCAUGUGUGUGGUGCACAUAAACCAUACAGGCAUUCACGCUCAUACACACAAAUAAAAAUAAACAAAGCUUUAAAGUCUCUAAUGUACAGAGCUUUGGGAUCAUCUGUUUCCUCUCGUGUGAGCUUUGCCAGACUGUAUGUUUCCAGGAAUGAGUCUACUUCACUCAAGCAGAGAGCGUGGAUGCAUCCUUCCGUGUCUUCUGUGUCCACGGGGUCUGUAGCUAUAUAUACCCUUCCAUCCACUUCUGCAGGGGUUUCUAGUUCUCUCUCUCUCUCUCUCCUUGUCCACUAGAAAUUUAAUUUAUUUUAUUUCAGAGAACUGGUUCUUGGGCUCUUGGUUCCAUGAGUGUUGUGACUUCCUGUUUCAGUUCUGUCAGCCCAUGCCCUUCUUUACUACCGUGCUUACUCUGGAUUUAAUCCACUCCUACUUAGAUGACUGAUUAUAAAUUACUUUUUUGCUUGAUGCAUUUGAUGCUAUAAAUUUGUGUUCAGGUUCUAUUUUUACUUCAUGUCUAAAAUUGUGAUUUCAUCUUCACUCAGUUCAGAGUAUUUUUUUAAUUUCUCUUGAGAUUUUUUUUUCCUACACCCCAUGUUACUGCGAACUGUGCUGUUUAACCUUAAAGUGUUUAAAGAUUUCCCGAGCCUCUUUCUAUUAUUGACUUCUAGCUUAAGUCCACUGUGCUCUGAAAAGGAACACUACAGAACUUUUAUAGUCUUAAUGUGUUAAGGUAUUCUAACGGCUCAGAACAGAGUGUCCUGAUGAAUGCUCUCUCUGUCCCCGAGAAGAGUCUGUCACCUGAUGUUCAAUUCCUCAUUUUUCCAGCUCUGUUUGACCCACCGUCUGUCUCUAUGAUUCUAGUUACAUCCCUAUCAGUCUAAGUCUGCGGCUCUCUUAAACCCAUGGUCCCUAACUGAGUCAACUUUUAACUUUGGAAAUUCUUCCAAAGUAGCUUCCAAAACUACUCCUGUCCCCAGCUCUCCUCCCUCCACCAGCCACACCCCCAUCUCUCCUCCACCAGCCACACCCCUCUCCCCUCUCCUACCACACUAACCCAGGUGGCAGAUAAGCAAUUAUGAGGUAGGGGUUUUCUUAGGGCACUGUGACCUCCACCAAUGUAGGAAAAUGCUUCACAGAAGGCCAGCAUCAGUGACAUAAAAUAAACACACGUCCGCACAUUAGACAAGAAAGUCAUCCAGGGGAUGGAAGAGACAGCUCAGUUUUUAAGGGCACAUGCUGCUCUUGCAGAGGACCAGAAUUUGGUGGCAGGCACCUGUAUCAGGAGACUCACAACAACCUGUAACUCCACUGUAGGGUUUCCGAUGCACCUGAGCAACACACAUGACCAUUCUAACACAACAGAUACCUAUUAAUAAAGGUCAUUUUUUUUUUUAAGUAACCCAAUACCGGCAUGUUACUGGCAAGCUGAUUUCAUCGCAACUCCAGCUCUGCCCCUGGAAAUAUGCAUGGAGGAACUUCACCAGAGCUGUUGAGUCUAAACCAAACGCUCAGCAGAAGAUGAAGCCUUGGGAGUGCUCAGGAGCCCUGCUGUGUUUUAGCUGUAACACGGUUGGCAGCAUUGCUUAUCUUCUGCCACGUUUUAGUUGUUUACCCAAAGCAGAAAGAAGAAAUCCUUUUCAUUAUUGGUUUAAAAUGACUUGUAUCUGCCUUCUCAGCAAAGGGCCUGAGGUUUGUGUGCUGAGUAAAAUAGGAGGCUUCUCUGUGAGCUAGGAUAGGAAAGAAACUAUUCUGGAAAGUUCACUAGUUCAAAAGCCCAUUGUCAAUGCCAACAUCCUUUUAUCAUGGUUGAAUGAAACCGAGGCUAAGACUGAGUCCCUAGUCCAGAGUUGUCUUGUGCUUCUGUGGACCAUAAAGCUCUCACCAAACCAUCACAAAGACCUAUCGAGACAAACCCAAGGAGCCCUGGAACUGGCCCUUUAGCUCAGGUGUCAUGAGGUCCCCACUGGAAUCCAUUUCUAAAGAACACAAAGGGCUGGGGCUGAGACCCAGGGGCUGAGAAUGGCCAGUGCUUUUCAGAGGACUCACGUUUGGUGCGCACCACCCAUGCAGGGCAGCUUGCGACCCCAGAGGACUGGUUCCCUCCUCUGAUAGUCUCAGGCACCCACACACAAGUAACACACACUCACACAGACAAAUUUAAAUUAAAUUUUAAAAUGUUUCAAGCAAGCAUAACACCCCCACAAAAAAAAAAAAGUAGGAACACAAAUAGACUUAGUCUUCAACUCUGCCCCCAGCAGUUUCCCUAAUAAAAUGCUUAUGUCCUACAGAGAAGGCUCUCGUUUUCAGGUAUAGGGCAGUCUUCAAGGCUGAGAGCGUGCCAAACAAUCCAGCAGCUAGCUAAAGUUAGACAAGGACAAGGCUCUACACGAGGCAUUCUGGUCAUGGACACUCAGCGAGCACUCGCUGUCCGUGAGCAAUGUCUUAAGCAAGGUACCCUGAAGGAUAAUAAAUAGUAACCUCCUCCAUUGUCUACAGCAAACACCACCCAUGGCCACAGCUCUUACUGUGUGACCACACAAAACCCUGGGAUUAAAUCCUGAUCCCCAUAUCACACAAGAAGCAAGUGAGUCUAGUUUUAGCGAUAAAAUACUUAGUUGGAGGGGCAGCUUUAACACAUUGAGUGGAAUUUAAGGACAGCCAGCCAGUCUCUAUAUAAACACUCAGCAACAGGAUGGCGUGGCAGGAAGGGACAUACCUGAUAUUCCUUGAGGCCUUGGCGGGCUUUCCAGGGGAAAGGCGUGUCAUAAUGAGGGGCCGGAUUGAGACGUGCUGUGGGGGAGGGGUGGCCUAUACAGGGUAGAUGACCUCCCAGGGGAUUUGAUAAAAAUACAUUGUGAAAACUGGUGCUAAAUUGUAGAUGAUCCUGAAGGAGGGACACAGACAGGCUUAUUAAUAAAGCCAUCACAGUGUCGUAGCUCCUGACGCUUUACGGUUGAACAGGAGGACAUUUUCCUCGGAACCGAAGCAGGAUGGCCUUGGCACAACUGUCCAAGCACUCCCAAAUAAUUCAGGGAAUCUGUGGGGUGGGGGUAGCUGGAAAAAUUGGAAUUUCAGAGGCAUGUGAUAGUAAAUUCUAAGGCUGGCAAAAUCCUACACUGAGAACCCUGGGCACCCCCUGGAGCUUACUUUACGCAAAAACCAAUGAUCUUUUAGAAAUGCGCAGAAAAACACAGGGAGAAAAAUCUUCCCCAGAAAUCCAGAAAUCUCCCGCGAAGGCUUCAACUUUUCUUCGCAGUAAAGUAGCUGAUACCUGCUUCUGAGGUCAUUGUUGCCAACCUCCUGCCAAGCUUUUGGAAAGCGAAAGCCAGGCAGACCUCAGGCCCUGGUUUGGCUCCUGACCCACACGUCCAUCCUUUUGUAACUCCCUCUACUCAACUCCAAGUCUGUCUGCGCACGCGCAAGCAACGAGGCGGAAGCAUGCUAAAUGCGAAAGCACAAAUUAUGUAUUGAGAAAUCUCUACAAUGCCAAAUUUUUUUUAGAAUAAAUAUAUAUAUUUAAGAACUCGCUGUGUUAGGGAAACUGUUUACAUAUUGAGGCGUUCCUCUUUUUUUGACUGGAACAAUAAAAGAA